AAACUUUCAACAACGGAUCUCUUGGUUCUGGCAUCGAUGAAGAACGCAGCGAAAUGCGAUAAAGUAAUGUGAAUUGCAGAAUUCAGUGAAUCAUCGAAUCUUUGAACGCACAUUGCGCCCUCUGGUAUUCCGGAGGGCAUGCCUGUUCGAGCGUCA
rnacentral:rRNA from 1 species